GAUGAAGAACGUAGCGAAAUGCGAUAAGUAAUGUGAAUUGCAGAAUUCAGUGAAUCAUCGAAUCUUUGAACGCACAUUGCGCCCGCCAGUAUUCUGGCGGGCAUGCCUGUUCGAGCGUCAUUACAACCCUCAGGCCCCCGGGCCUGGCGUUGGGGAUCGGCGGAAGCCCCCUGCGGGCACAACGCCGUCCCCCAAAUACAGUGGCGGUCCCGCCGCAGCUUCCAUUGCGUAGUAGCUAACACCUCGCAACUGGAGAGCGGCGCGGCCACGCCGUAAAGCACCCAACUUCUGAAUGUUGACCUCGAAUCAGGUAGGAAUACCCGCUGAACUUAAGCAUAUCAAUAAGCGGAGGA
rnacentral:misc_RNA from 1 species